rnacentral:rRNA from 1 species
AACGAACGCUGGCGGCGUGCUUAACACAUGCAAGUCGAACGAGAAAGAGUUCCUUCGGGAACUUGAGUAGAGUGGCGCACGGGUGAGUAACGCGUAGAUAAUCUACCCCCGCAUUCGGAAUAACUCGUCGAAAGGUGAGCUAAUACCGGAUACGUUUAUCUUGAUGCGAAUGAUGAUAAAGAAAGGUGGCCUCUUCAUGAAAGCUACUGUGCAGGGAUGAGCUUGCGUACCAUUAGCUAGUUGGUAGGGUAAUGGCCUACCAAGGCGACGAUGGUUAGCGGGUCUGAGAGGAUGAUCCGCACACUGGAACUGGAACACGGACCAGACUCCUACGGGAGGCAG